rnacentral:sRNA from 1 species
GUUUCAAUUCCUCAUAGGCAGGCUAUCGGCAAAUUUCGAUGCUGGAGAAGUGUUUGAAAAGGCAUG